rnacentral:tRNA from 1 species
GCCACCCUAGCUCAACGGCAGAGCAGUGCUUUUGUAAAGCAAAGGUUCCGGGUUCAAAUCCCGGGGGUGGCUCUA